GGGAGCCUCCACCCAGGCGCAUGGCUCCAUGAAGCAAGAGGAGGAGGCAGAGCGCGAGAGAUCCCGUCCGCCCCAGCCGCGUCUGGGCCAGGAGAAAAGCAAAACCAUAUUCCUGCUGCUGUCAGUUUUGAUGCACUGAGAAAACUUCAGAGACCUAAGCUUUUUCCAGAGAAGAGAAGCUUUACUGGUGUUCCAGCCCUAAGUCUCGCUCUGUCGCUCAGGCUGGAGUGCAAUGGCGCGAUCUCGGCUCACUGCAAGCUCCGCCUCCUGGGUUCACUCCAUUCUCCUGCCUCAGCCUCCGGAGUAGCUGGGACUACAGGCACCCGCCACCGCGCCCAGCUAAUUUUUUUUUUUUUUAGUAGAGACGCGGUUUCACCGUGUUAGCCAGGAUGGUCUCGAUCUCCUGACCUCGUGAUCCGCUCGUCUCGGCUUCCCAAAGUGCUGAGAUUACAGGCUUGCAGGCGUGAGCCACCGCGCCCGGCCGAGUUAAAGUACUUUUUCUGGAACAAAGAAACUUAGCAUAAAUAGUUAAAAUAUUAAGAGUUGUAAUUAAGGGAAAUUUCAGCUCAAUAUGACUUCAACAGUUUAAAAAAUGUAUUAUUUCACAUAAGACCAUGGAGAGAGGAAUUGGAAGCCCCAGAAUUGAUUGGGUCAGAAAUUGAAAAUGAUACUAUCAGUGACCCAGGUUUGAAUGUCUCUCUCCACAGCAUUGACUUCACUAAUGGAUGUGACCUGGUUGGCAGCAGUAGCUUGCACAACAUGCUUGUUUGCAGUGAGUAGUAGAGAGAAGGUUUUGCUUUCCCAGAAACUCUGAAAAAGGUCAUCAAACCUAAAUUUCCUUAGCCUUCUUCUUCCAUGAGCAAAUCACUAGCAGAUGAUUGCUAGCAAGGUGUUACUAUUACAAUGAACCCCUAAGUGUCAGAGAAAGAGUUAGUUUGGGGAAAUAUCCUCUCCACCACAAUCUUAGUCAUUGAAGUCAAUUUAACAAUAUAUUGAAAUAUUUUUCUUAGAAGUUUAAAGUUCCAUUAAAGAGUAACAAUUACAGAAAUUAUAGGUAGCCUUUAGUUCUACAAGUGACAUCUCAAAAGGGAGAUGAUUCAUCAAUUUCAAACUUUCCCUGCAAGUAAUACUGGAUGAAAAUUAACUUGGCCAACAUAAUUAAUAAUCAUGGGUUAUUAAUUACUUCUGCAAGAAACUUAAAUCCUCAGUGUGACACAACUCAGUCCUUCUACUGCAGCAGCUCUUUUAUAAAAGCCUCCCAAAGCUCCAAGAAGGAACAAAGAAUGUGACCCAGUAAGCUCACACCAUAAGUCUAUAUUGCAGAAACCUUUGUUCAACAAAACUGCAGAUGCUCUGUUGAAUCCACUGGAGAUUGUCCUGAUACUAAGGACAAGUAUGCUCAUAUGACAUUAACAGACAAGACACUUUUCAGAAAGACAGGUAAGUCAUUUGUUAAAAUCUCACUACUGUUGUUUAACAGAAACAUAUAUAUGCAUGUAUAUGUGUGUACUGUAUGGAAAAAGUGGAAUUAGAGUUUAUCUAGAAAAGAAAAAA
ensembl:lncRNA NUTM2A-AS1 NUTM2A antisense RNA 1